rnacentral:lncRNA from 1 species
CCCCCCCCCCCCCCCCCCCCCCCCCCCCCCCCCCCCCCCCCCCCCCCCCCCCCCCCCCCCCCCCCCCCCCCCCCCCCCCCCCCCCCCCCCCCCCCCUUUUUUUUUUUUUUUUGUUUUUUUUUUUUUUUUUUUUUUUUUGUUUUUUUUUUUUUGUUGUUUUUUCCACAGGGAUUCUCCUGGAGAUUCCCAGCUCCCCCUCCUGGCUCUGCCCAAGGGACGCUGGAGGUGACAAUUCCAGGGGUUUGGGAGCCUUUGGAAGGUCGGGCACAGGGAGAGGGGGAAGUGCUUCGUGUGUCUGAUCCCCUCAUCCCGGAAUUCCCGGGGAGAUGGAGGGAGCCAGCUCUGGAUCCAACUCUGGGAAUCCCUGGAGAGCCAGAGGGAUCCACCUCUGGGAAUUCCGGAAGAAUCAGAGGGAUCCAACUCUGAGAAUUUCCAGAGAGCCAGAGGGAUCCAACACUGGAUCCAACACUGGGAAUCCCCAGAGGGAUCCAGCUCUGGGAAUUCCAGAAGAGCCAGAGGGAUCCAGCUCUGGGAAUUCCAGGAGAAUCAGAGGGAUCCAGCUCUGGGAAUUCCAGGAGAGCCAGAGGGAUCCAACACUGGAUCCAACACUGGGAAUUCCCAGAGAGCUGAAGGGAUCCAGCACUGGAUCCAACACUGGGAAUUCCAGGAGAGCCAGAGGGAUCCAACACUGGAUCCAACCCUUGGUGGCCCCAAGCAGGGCCUGGCCCAGCCCAGCUCCCCUGGUUGGGAUCCUGCCUAAAACCCCCAAAUUCCCGGAUUUCCUUCCUCUUCCCAAGCCUGGACUCCCAAACAUUCCAGAGGAGCCAACUCCAGCAUUCCCACUCCCUGGAUUCACCCCCAGGUGCCUCCCACUGACCCCUCUGUGUCCCAAACUGGGGGUGAUCCCAACAUGGAUUUUGGGUGUCCUGUGGGAUCGAUUCCCUGUGUGCAGGAUGGAUCCCAGCAACAUUCCCAGAAUUCCCAGUAUUCCCAGCCCUCUCUCCCUGCUCUCACACCUUCCAGAUUCCCCAGGGUUGGAUUUUGGAAGGACUGGGACAUUUGGGGUCUUUGGGGUCGCAAAUGGGGCUGGAGGCUGCGGGCAGGGAUUUGGGAUUUGAGAUAAAAAGGAUUUGGAAUCCCAGAGCAAUGUAGGGAUUUGGGAUCCUGGAGCAAUCCAGGGAUUUGGGAUUUGAGAUUAAAAGGAUUUGGGAUCCCAGCCCCCCCCCCCCCCCCCCCCCCCCCCCCCCCCCCCCCCCCCCCCCCCCCCCCCCCCCCCCCCCCCCCCCCCCCC